UAGUGGCCAGAGAAAGAGGCGACUUUCCCCAGCUCCAGGGCUGCUGGGGGAGACGGCCCUCCUUCCCAGCCUCAGCUCUCUGACUGCUGUGGCAGGGGAGAGACUUCCCAGCCUCAGCUCUCUGACUGCUGUGGCAGGGGAGAGACUUCCCAGCCCCAGCUUGGGGGCUGCCGCAGCGGGGGAGAAAGGGCACAUCCAUCGCAUUAGAAAGAUAAGACGACUGAUAUUAAAAUAUGAGUUGUUGUGUGCUUUUAUUUGUAGAACAAAAAAAUCUUUAUUAUUAUUAAGAUUUUUUUUAUAUAGCAAUUUUAUCCAAAGUGCUUUACAAUAGUUAGUUAAUGGUACAAACAAUAUUUGGAAAUAUCAUUAAGUGGUCUGCUGAGACCCUAAGCAAUUUUCAAGUGGUCCUCGAAAAAAAUAGUUUGAGAACCACUGCCUUAGACAAAAUACAUUGUAAUAUAGGUCAGAUUCUUAAACAACUGGGGUUUGUAUCUUGCCAGGUUUCAAGACUUAUGUCCACCUCUCUCUACAUUUGGGUAUAGAUAAGCUAACCUUAAUUUUCCUGAUGCUCAGUUUAUUGCACAAGACCAGCGUACAGCGGUUGCCAUUAAAAGCCUUUUGCUUUAGGUAACAUUACCUCAGAACUUGUAAUCAUCGUUAUACUUCAUACUAAAUAUAUCCAGGAACACAGCAAUACUGGAGGUAACUUAUCUAAGGCAAUCGAAACUUUAAAUGUGUCAAGAAAUGUUAUAUUCCAAAAGAAUUAUAUCAAUAACACACAUCAGUUGCGACUAAUCCCAAUCUCUACCUUUUUGCCUCAAACUUUCUCUCCCCACCCAUCAUAAGCCUCUUAAGAACUUUGUACUUAUGAUAAUGAUGGAUGGGUAAAAUUAAUACCUCAUCAUUUAUCUUUUUCUACAAAACUAGACUUCUCAAUCACAAGGAAGGAGGCUGGACUGCUCACUUGGAAACAUAAUCCGGUCUGUAUGCUUUAAAGUGGGAAAAAUAGCUUUACUUUAUCAGAUAACUAACUAAUCAUUAGCUUCUCCUGAUUAAAGCCAUCUACUGAGCAUAGUGACUUUGUCCUUAUAAGUAUAGGGUGGGUUAGAAUGAAGAGCAUUGUAUAGUCACAGAAGAGAAAUCCUUAGGAUAGCAAAAUGAUCUCUUCCUCCUUUCCUCUUCCCCAUCCUCCCAAAUCCAGGUGUGCAAUAGCUUUCAAAGGCUCAUGGUGCUACCACAGUAUCCAAGACCCUCCUACCAAAAGCAAUGUCCAUCUGCUUCACCUAGUGUCUAGCAAAUGAGUGACAAGAUGAGCAAACUGCUGCCUUGCAGAUUUUUUUUUUAGGAUAUGAACGGCUUUUCUGCCCAUCACAUAGAGAAAAAUCUUACAGGGAAGAUCAUUCUGUUAUUUACAUUUAUAUUGCAGUACUGUCUAAAGGUUGGGCCCCACUGUUCUAGGUGCUGAAGUAAAUCAUGUUGCUUACAAAUAGGGUGACCAGACAGCAAAUGUGAAAAAUCAGGACAGGGGGUGGGGGGUAAUAGGACCCUAUGUAAGAAAAAGACCCCAAAAUUGGGACUGUCCCUAUAAAAUUGGGACAUCUGGUCACCCUACUUACAAAUAGCUUUAUGCUCCUAUUUAAUGCUAUACUUUAGCCACUCUCUUGCUCUUGGGAGAGUCAGAACAAAGAGCCCUAGAUUCCAGAGUUCUUGCCAGGUGGAUCAUAACAGCUCUGGCAGGUUCUAAUGUGUACCAGGGUUUUUCCUUGGGAUACUGAAUAUGCUGCAGAACUCUCUCCCAAGAGCUGUAAAACAGUUCUAGUAGCUUUUGGUGUAAAAGCUUGGCCAAGGUGCUAGUCCCGUGUUCCUGAAUGGGGAGUCAAACAUCUUCCUUGGCAAGUGACAAGUCUGGUCUUGUCUCCUCAACUGUAGUGGUGCAGGUCUGUCCAAGCUUCCCUAGCACAGCUCUGCCAAUGAACCUCAGGUCUCCUUUCAACAUCCUGAUUAUCUCAAGACUGCAAAGAUUAGUCCAGUAAACUGCAUGGACAGUGAUUUGUACAAAUGAAAACUAGGAUACCACCACAAACUAAUUAAAAAUUCACACUUAUUCAAAGAUGAGAAGCUAGCAGCCUGUAUUGGGAUGAGGUAGAUGAGGCUUUCUUUGGACAACUGAAGUUCCCAGAUCACAAGCCCUGAUUCUAAUGGGUGACUUCAGUCACCCUAACAUCUGCUAAGAGAGCAAUAUAGCAGUGCACAGACAUUCCAGGAAGUUUCUGGAGAGUUGGGGACAACUUCCUGGUACAAGUGCUGGAGGAACCAACUAGCGGCUGUGCUCCUCUUGACCUGCUGCUCACAAACAGGGAAGAAGUGAGUGGCAACUUAGGCAGCAGUGACCAUGAGAUGGUUGAGUUCAGGAUCCUGACAAAAGGAAGAAAGGAGCGUAGCAAAAUAUGGACCCUGGACUUCAGAAAAGCAGUCUUAGACUCCCUUAGGGAACUGAUGGGCAUCCCCUGGGAGGCUAAUAUGAGGGGGCAAGGAGUCCAGGAUAGCUGGCUGUAUUUUAAAGAAGCCUUAUUGAGGGCACAGGAACAAACUAUCCCGAUGUGCAGAAAGAAUAGCAAAUAUGGCAGGCGACCAGCUUGGAUUAACAGUGAAAUCUUCGGUGAGCUUAAACUAAAAAAAGGAAACUUACAGGAAGUGGAAAUUUGGACAGAUGACUAGAGAGGAGUAUAAAAAUAUUGCUAGAGUAUGCAGGGGUGUAAUCAGGAAGGCCAAGGUACAACUGGAGUUGCAGCUAGCAAGGGAUGUGAAAGGUAACAAUAAGGGUUUCUACAGGUAUGUUAGCAACAAGAAGGUGGUCAGGGAAAAUGUGGGACCUUUACUGAAUGGGGGAGGCAACCUAGUGACAGAUGAUGUGGAAAAAGCUGAAGUACUCAAUUUUUUUUUUUUGCCUCGGUCUUCACAGACUAGGUCAGCUCCCAGACUGCUGCAUUGGGCAACACAGUAUGGGGAGAAGGUGAGCAGCCCUCAGUGGUGAAAGAACAAGUUUAGAAAAACUGGACAUGCACAAGUCCAUAGGUCCAGAUCUAAUGCAUCCAAGGGUGCUGAGGGAGUUGGCUGAUGUAAUUGCAGAGCCAUUGGCCAUUAUUUUUGAAAAUUCGUGGUGAUCAGGGAGGUCCCGGACGAUUGGAAAGAGGCAAAUAUAGUGCCCAUAUUUAAAAAAGGGAAGAAAGAGAACCCAGGGAACUACAGACCAGUCAGCCUCACUUCAGUCCCCGGCAAAAUCAUGGAGCAGGUCCUCAAGGAAUCCAUUUUGAAGCACUUGGAGGAGAGGAAGUUGAUCAGGAACAAUCAACAUGGAUUCACCAAGGGCAAGUCAUGCCUGACCAACCUGAUUGCCUUCUAUGAUGAGAUAACUGGCUCUCGGGACAUGGGGAAAGUGGUGGAUGUGAUAUAUCUUGACUUUAGCAAAGCUUUUGAUACGAUCUCCCACAGUAUUCAUGCCAGCAAGCUAAAGAAGUAUGGAUUGGAUGAAUGGACUAUAAGGUGGAUAGAAAGCUGGCUAGAUUGUCGGGCUUAACGGGUAGUGAUCAAUGGCUUGAUGUCUAGUUGUCAGCUGGUCUCAAGCAGAGUGCCCCUGGGGCUGGUUUUGUUCAACACCUUUAUUAGUGAUCUGGAUGAUGGGAUGAACUGCACCCUCAGCAUGUUUGCAGAUGAUACUAAGCUGUGGGGAAAGGUAGAUAUGCUGGAGGGUAGGGAUAGGGUCCAGAGUGACCUAGACAAAUUGGAGGAUUGGGCCAAAAGAAAUCAGAUGAGGUUCAACAAAGACAAGUGCAGAGUCCUGCACUUAGGAAGGAAGAAUCCCAUGCACCGCUACAGGUUGGGACCGACUGGCUAAGCAGCAGUUCUGCAGAGAAGGACCUGGGGAUUACAGUGGAUGAGAAGCUGGAUAUGAGUCAGCAGUGUGCCCUUGUUGCCAAGAAGGCCAACAGCAUAUUGGGCUGUAUUAGUAGAAGCAUUGCCAGCAGAUCGAGGGAAGUGAUUAUUCCCCUCUAUUCGGCAUUGGUGAAGCCACACCUCAAGUAUUGUGUCCAGUUUUGCCCCCGCCCCCCACACCCACCACUACAGAAGGGAUGUGGACAAAUUGGAUAGAGUCCAGCGGAGGGCAACUAAAAUGAUUAGGGGGUUGGGGCACAUGACUUACAGAGAGAGGCUGAGGGAACUGGGCUUAUUUAGUCUGCAGAAGAGUGAGGGGGGAUUUAAUAGUGGCCUUCAACUACCUGAAGGGGGGUUCCAAAAAGGAUGGAGCUCGGCUGUUCUCAGUGAUGGCAGAUAGAACAAGAAGCAAAGGUCUCAAGCUGCAGUGGGGGAGGUCUAGGUUGGAUAUUAGGAAACACUAUUUCACUAGGAGGGUGGUGAAGCACUGGACUGGGUUACCUAGGGAGGUGGUGGAAUCUCCAUCCUUAGAGGUUUUUAAGGCCCGGCUUGACAAAGCCCUGACUGGGAUGAUUUAGUUGGUUUUGGUCCUGCUUUGAGCAGGGGAUUGGACUACAUGACCUCCUGAGGUCUCUUCCAACUCUAAUAUUCUAUGAUUCCAUAUAUGUAUACAUAUACACACACACACACACACACACACAUGCCUUUCAUUUCCAUUUAAUACAAAAUGCAUCUCAAAACACUGACAAACAAUAAAACUGCAAAAAUUAGUCUGAAUGUCAUCAGUACACCAAACACCAAGUGAACAAUUGGAUCCCCCACCUAAUAUGAAAUAUAUCUAUUGUAAGACUUUCCUUUAAAAGCUUAUCUCAAGUAGGAAUGUCUGAGUUUUCUUCAAAAGUAAAGUAAAUGGUAAAGUUUGCGGAUGAUACCAAGCUGGGAGGGGUUGCAAGUGCUUUGGAGGAUAGGAUUAUAAUUCAAAAUGAUCUUGACAAACUGGAGAAAUGGUCUGAAGUAAAUAGGAUGAAAAUCAAUAAAGACAAAUGCAAAGUACUCCCGUCAAGAAGGACAAUUAGUUGCACACAUACAAAAUGGGAAAUGACUGCACAAGAAGGAGUACUGUGGAAAGGAAUCUGGGGGUCCUAGUGGAUCACAAACUAAAUAUGAGUCAACAGUGUAACAAUGUUGCAAAAAAAGCAAACAUCAUUCUGGGAUGUAUUAGCAGAAGUGUUGUAAGCAAGACACAAGAAAAGACAGUUACCUUUUUCCAGAACUGGUGUUCUUUGAGGUGUUUUGCUCUUGUCCAUUCAACUUGGGUGUGUUUGCUCGCCACAUGCCCCGGUGUCGGAAAUUUUUCCUGCAGCAGUAUCCAUAAAGGACCAGCUCCAGCGCCCCCUGGAGUGGCGCACACAUGCUGUGAUAGAUAUAGUGCUGCUGGCUCCCCCCACCCCCCGUGAACUCACCAUAAUUGGGACUCUCAGCAACCUGUGUGCUAGCUCAGGGACAGUGGGCUAACACCAUUCAACUUAGAUGACUCCAAAGCAGUAUCCCUCAGAGGUGGAUAGAGUAGAUUGUAACACAGCUCUGCCGAACCCAGCGUUGUCCCUGGCCUGCUGAGGGAUGGCAUAGUGGGCCAUGAACGUGUGCACCAAGGACCACAUUGCGGCUUUACAAAUGUCCUGGAUCAGGAAGUGUGCCAGGAAGGCUGCCGAAGAUGCCUGCGCUCUGGUCGAGUGGGCUCUGACAAUUAGCGGCAGAGGGACUCUCGCCAACCCAUAUCAGGUCCAAAUGCAAGAGGUGAUCAGUUAGAAAUCCUCUGCAUGGACACCGGAAGGCCCUUCAUCCUAUCAGCUGUAGAGAUAAGAAGUUGAGUCGACUUAUGGUAAGGCUUUGUCCGAUCCAGGUAGAAAGCCAGGGCCCUUCUUACAUCCAAAGAGUGAAGGCGCCUCUCUUCACUAGUCUCAUGGGGCUUAGGGCAGAAGACCAGAAGGAAGAUGUUCUGGCUCAUGUAGAAAGUAGACACUACCUUGGGAAGGAAGGCUGGGUGGGGCCAGAGCGGAACCGUGUCCUUAUAGAAGACCAUGUACAGUGGUUCUGAGGUCAAGGCUUGUAUCUCAGAGACUCGCCUCGCCGACAUCACUGCCACCAGGAAAGCUACCUUCCACGGUAGGUGAGAUGGUAGCACGAGGCCAAAGGCUCAAAGGACAGGCCCGUGAGCCUAGACAGAACCAAGCUGAGAUCCCACUGAGGAACCGGGGACCAAACUUAUGAAAAAAGACCUCUGAGGAACCUGAAACAGGUAGUCUAAGAUCGACUGUACUGCAGAAUGCGAAGGGGAGAGGCCCCGUUUGGCUGCCCAGUGGGAGAACCUCGUCCACUUUGCCAGGGCCUUGCUGAUGAGCAGAAUUGGAGGGAACGUGUACAUCAGGCUUCCUGUCCAUGGCAGGAGGAAGGUGUCAGAGAGGGAGCCCUUGCCCAGACCCUGUCUGAAGCAAAACCUGUGGCACCUCCUGUUCUGCCACUUGGGGAGUUCCCCACCUCUGGAAAUUCAUGCCGAUCACCUCUGGGUGGAGCACCCACUCAUGGUGAGAGGAGAAGUCCCUGCUUAGGUGAUCUGCUAGCAUCUUCUUGGCACCCGGAAAGUGACACGCUUCUAGGUGGAUUCCAUGGUCGAUGCAGCAGCCCCAGAGAUGGAGUGCCUCUUGGCAGAGGGCCGAGGAUUGCACUCCACCCUGUCUGUUGAUGUAGAUCAUCGAGGCUAAGUUGUCGGUCAAGACUCUGACCACUCUGCCUGACAGGUGAGGUAGGAAGACCGUGCACAGUCUGCACACCGCCCUGAGCUCUUUGAUGUUUAUGUGUAGUGUCAUUUCCUUUGGGGACCACACACCCUGGGUCUAGAGAGUGCCGAGGUGUCUGAAACCAACUUGAGUGAGUGAGGAGUGCUGAUGAAGGGAACUCCUUCCAGGACUUUCCUGGGGUCGGUCCACCAUCGCAGUGAGGCUGAGUCGACGGCAAGUGGCUAACAGCAUCGCAACAUCCCUUUGGACCUGGGACCUGCAGCUGCCCUGCCAGUCGUCAAGGUACGGGU